GUGCCAGCAGCCGCGGUAAGACGAACCGUGCGAACGUUGUUCGGAAUCACUGGGCUUAAAGGGCGCGUAGGCGGCUUGUCAAGUCAGGGGUGAAAUCCUGCAGCUCAACUGUAGAAGUGCCUUUGAUACUGACGAGCUCGAGGGAGGUAGGGGUCGCUGGAACUUCUGGUGGAGCGGUGAAAUGCGUUGAUAUCAGAAGGAACGCCGGUGGCGAAAGCGAGCGACUGGAUCUCUUCUGACGCUGAGGCGCGAAAGCUAGGGGAGCAAACGGGAUUAGAAACCCUUGUAGUCC
rnacentral:rRNA from 1 species